UGCCGCGUGAGUGAUGAAGGCCUUAGGGUCGUAAAGCUCUUUCAACGGUGAAGAUAAUGACGGUAGCCGUAGAAGAAACCCCGGCUAACUCCGUGCCAGCAGCCGCGGUAAUACGGAGGGGGUUAGCGUUGUUCGGAAUUACUGGGCGUAAAGCGCGCGUAGGCGGAUUGGAAAGUUGGGGGUGAAAUCCCAGGGCUCAACCCUGGAACUGCCUCCAAAACUAUCAGUCUAGAGUUCGAGAGAGGUGAGUGGAACUCCGAGUGUAGAGGUGAAAUUCGUAGAUAUUCGGAAGAACACCAGUGGCGAAGGCGGCUCACUGGCUCGAUACUGACGCUGAGGUGCGAAAGUGUGGGGAGCAAACAGGAUUAGAUACCCUGGUAGUCCACACCGUAAACGAUGAAUGCCAGUCGUCGGGUAGCAUGCUAUUCGGUGACACACCUAACGGAUUAAGCAUUCCGCCUGGGGAGUACGGUCGCAAGAUUAAAACUCAAA
rnacentral:rRNA from 1 species